ACGAACGCUGGCGGUGUGGAUAAGGCAUGCAAGUCAAACGGGUUAUUUAGCUUUUCCGAAUAAUCAGUGGCGAAAGGAUGCGUAAGACGUGGGUAAUCUGUCUUCGAGAUUGGGAUAACUUGUCGAAAGAUGAGCUAAUACCAAAUGUGACCACGCCCUCGACAGAGGGUGAGGUAAAAGGUGGGGAAUCGCAAGAUCCUACCACUCAAAGUUGAGCCCGCGGCCUAUCAGGUAGUUGGUGAGGUAAUGGCUCACCAAGCCUAUGACGGGUAGCUGGUCUGAGAGGAUGGUCAGCCAUACUGGAACUGAGACACGGUCCAGACUCCUACGGGAGGCAGCAGCCGAGAAUCUUCCGCAAUGGGCGAAAGCCUGACGGAGCGACACCGCGUGUAGGAUGAAGG
rnacentral:rRNA from 1 species